AAAUGCAGGCUGCCUCCUCAUCUCUACACACUGAGCUCCUGCUCACCAAUCCUCCAGGUGACCCUCAGCCAUGAACACUUGUCCUCCUCUCUGCUGUUGUCCUGCUGGCCUUCCUGGCCCAGGCUGAUCCUCUGCCAGCACCAAAUGAGGAGACUAAAACUGAGGAGCAGCCAGGGGUAGAGGACCAGGAUGUGACCAUCUCCUUUGGAGGCCCAGCAGGGCUUUCUCUUCAGGAUGCAGGCUCAAGAAAGGUCUCAACAUGUUACUGCAGAAGAUCCUGCAGAAAUUCAGAACGUCCCACUGGAGUCUGCUUCGGAUUUCUAACACGCCGCAUUUUCUGCUGCGACUGAGCAUGGAGACCAGAGACAAGAUGACCAUGUAUUCUGAAACCUUGUGACCUCUCAUUCCCCUUGUACUUAGCCUCAAUUGUUUUUCUUUCUCCAAUAAAUUUCUUGCAGAAAAAAAAUA